UCCGAGUUGUCCCCGGCAGUCCUUUUAGAGUCCCCGGCAUUACCCGCUGGCAACUAAAAGCAGGGGUUGCGCUCGUUGCGGCACUUAAGCCAACACCUCACGGCACGAGCUGACGACAGCCAUGCAGCACCUGUGCUAGCCCCUUACGGACACCGGCUUUCACCGGCUUUAACUAGCAUGUCAAGCCUAGGUAAGGUUCUUCGCGUUGCAUCGAAUUAAGCCACAUGCUCCGCCGCUUGUGCGGGCCCCCGUCAAUUUCUUUGAGUUUUAACCUUGCGGCCGUACUCCCCAGGCGGAUAACUUAAUGCGUUAGCUGCGCCCCUGAUCAGCCGUUUUGCAUACAGCGCAGACCAAGGACGAACACUCAUCGUUUACGGCAUGGACUAC
rnacentral:misc_RNA from 1 species